GGCCAGGUGGCAGAGUGGUGAUGCAGCGGACUGCAAAUCCGCUUACAUCGGUUCGAUUCCGGUCCUGGCCUCCA
rnacentral:tRNA from 1 species